rnacentral:rRNA from 1 species
UGGGGAAUAUUGCACAAUGGGCGAAAGCCUGAUGCAGCGACGCCGCGUGAAGGAUGAAGUAUUUCGGUAUGUAAACUUCUAUCAGCAGAGAAGAAAAUGACGGUACCUGACUAAGAAGCCCCGGCUAACUACGUGCC